GACGAACGCUGGCGGCGUGCUUAACACAUGCAAGUCGAACGGAAAGGCCCUGCUUGCAGGGUACUCGAGUGGCGAACGGGUGAGUAACACGUGGGUGAUCUGCCCUGCACUUCGGGAUAAGCCUGGGAAACUGGGUCUAAUACCGGAUAGGAGCCAUUUUUAGUGUGAUGGUUGGAAAGUUUUUUCGGUGUAGGAUGAGCUCGCGGCCUAUCAGCUUGUUGGUGGGGUAAUGGCCUACCAAGGCGGCGACGGGUAGCCGGCCUGAGAGGGUGGACGGCCACAUUGGGACUGAGAUACGGCCCAGACUCCUACGGGAGGCAGAAGUGGGGAAGAUUGCACAAUGGGCGCAAGCCUGAUGCAGCGACGCCGCGUGGGGGAUGACGGCCUUCGGGUUGUAAACUCCAUUCGCUAGGGACGAAGCUUUUUGUGACGGUACCUAGAUAAGAAGCACCGGCUAACUACGUG
rnacentral:rRNA from 1 species